rnacentral:lncRNA from 1 species
AAGAGCUAACAGAGUUCAGAGCAACCUCCAGAGGCUGAAGGGAACUCAUCGGCAAAGAACCAAUUCCCUCUCAUAUAAACCCUCAGAUUGCUCUGCAAACCCAACGGUGCAAUUCAAUUUUAUUCGAUCUCUCCAAUCAGGUUUGCCUUAUUCCCAUAAUUUUAUGCUCUUAAUUUGAAUCAUCUGAAUAUAUGAGGUAUUAUGGGUGAAUUUGAUACCCUUUUGAUGCAUGUGUUUGACAGGAGGUUUAGGCCUCCUACCCUUGGUUGCUUUUUGUG